UAGGGGGCUUCUGAUUGGGCAAAGCCUCGUAGGUCCCGCCCCCGGCGCUGGGGGGCGCGGCUGCCUCUAGGCUGCGCCUGGGCCGGAGAAGACCGUGUGGGCGUGGGCUCCUGCUUCGCGUUCCCGGUUCUCCUGCGAUCCGCCGAUUCCAGCCGGCAGGCGGCCGCGGAAGCCCGGUCACCGGGACGAGUGGCCGGCGGAGGCCGUGAGUCCGCACGGCAGGUGGCGCCAGGGCGGAGCGGGUCGAGCCCGUCGAGCCGCACCGGACCCGGUACCGGGUCCUCCCUCCCGUACAGUUCGCAGUGCGGCCCCUUGGAGGUGACGCCCGGGGACCCAGGAAGCCGGUUCCGGUGAAGGGGCCGCUCGGCUGGCGGGGAGGCGCGGUGGGGGCCGGGCUGCCCCGCGCGUGCCGGGUCCCCGCUGGGUGGGGUUGUGGUUCCUCCCGCGCGUCAGCGUGUCAGCUCAAGGAACCUGGGCCGACCUUCUGCAGAGUUCUUGUUUAAAGCAGCAGGCUCACCAGAACGGGACCAGCUGGCGGGGGACUCGGGGACAGAGUUUACAGUUCAGACCGCUGGCUGGGGGACUGACUGCCUCCGUGCAGAGCGGCGGGACCCGUGCGCAGGGGAAGUGUUCCUGAUUUUACUUACAGAGAAGGAGGCUGAGAGACAGAACUAAAUGACAGCCUAGAGCCACAGAGCCUCUUCAGUCCCAGAAGGGCUGGUUAAGAGGACAUUAUUCAGCUCCAAGUUCUGUUGAAGACACAAGGCUUGAACCCGGAGAGGCAGCAGAGCAGCAGCAGGAAGGCGGGAGGGCGGGGAGCCUUCAGGUGUGUCUCCAGCAUCUAACACUGCGUGUGAGCCACAGCAAGGGCUCAGUAAACACCGUUUGAAUGAACAGAUGGUCUUGGGUUCACAGCUGCUCCGCAGUAUUCUAGUUGUGCUGCCUCCUCCCUGACAGGCCCCUACUUAGGAGCAAGCCUCGUGUUUACUCCUCCCCCCCCCCCCCGGCACUGUGGUCUUUGGGUUUGAGAGAUUAGAGUCACUCCUGGCUCUAAGGGGCACAGCUCUGGGGUGGUGGGGUGCCCUGUUAGGGCCACUGAGCCUGGAGAAGGAGUUUGCCAGGAGAUUCUGGAAGAGAUGAUGUUUCUCUUUCUCUUUCUGGACAUGUCACGUGUGGAUGGUGCUGCUGCAGCCAUCUUGCCACCCUGAAGAGGGUGCCCUUGUACAAUGAGGCAGACAGAAGAGGUGGGGAGAAAUCAAGCCUUUGAUGGCUGUGUUAGGAACCAACUCAGCCUUGAAGUUGGGACUUUCUAGUUUCAUGAGCCAGUAAAUUCCCUUUUUAAAAAAAUACUUUUUAAAACCGGGCAUAAAUAAAGGUACUUGUGAGUUAGCUAGUGUGGCUUCGUGUGCUAGCAGAGUAGUUGUGCGAGCUAGUUAACCUGCCUCAGGCUGAGCGCCUCAUCUGCGGAAGAGGAGCAGUAAUAACACCGUUCCCUCCGUGGACGUGAGGAGGGCGUGAGAUGGGGUGUGGUCCUAGCCCGGGGCCGAGCACAAAGCUGGCAUCCAGAGGCCUUUUGUGUGCUUCAAUGUUUUGCAUUGAUGGCAGCUUCCUUAUUUGCCAAGGAUCAUUCCAACAACCAGCGUCUAAACUUGGCACCAGCGUACGGACAGACUGGUAGGAGCUCUUUCUGGAAGAUGAGCCCGGCUUAAGCGGCCUUGGAGCCAAGGGCCUGUGUGCAUCGUGGAGUCCGCAGGGAGGAAGGACACGUCUGGUCAUGCACGCUGAGCCCCUGGUAGCCUGGAGGCGGCUGACUUAGGGGCCUGUGGGCCCGUGAGCACUGGACUGCACCUUCCCGCGGCCCGCGAGGUGCUUGGUGCUGGAGCUCGUGCGUGUUUGCCACCAGAGGCUGCGUGACUUGGGGUUGAUCUGCAGGCGUCCGUGGCAGUGCCUGGGUGGUGGCGCCUCUAACACGUUGCCGCCAAAACCAUGUGUGUGGUUUUUUCACUGCCUCAGAAGAGGCAUCCGAGCUGCUGCUGGGCCAGAGGGAGCCGGGGCUGCGUUUCUGGGAGGUCACUUGGGACCUGACUUUUGGGGAGAUUCAUGGAAGGCAGGAAGAGGGGAGGCCCGUAAGUUUAGGGGCCGAGAUGUGGUCAUGAGCCCAGAGAGGGGGUGAGGCAGAGGUGGAAACACACCUGCUCACACACACAGACCUACACACAGGCUGCAGAGAGUGGCUUCCGUGACUUCCGGUGGUUUCUUGUCCCUUGUGCGCCAGAGUAUAUUUUCCAAAAAUGGUCACAAAGAUGCUUGGGAAACACAUGCUUGCCCAGAACCUUGCCCCCCCUACCCACGCAGUCAGGAGAUGGCAUCGGGCCCCUCCUCGGGCUCGGGCAGCCCUGGACUGAGUUCAGAAGCAGAGCUGUAACUUCUGGGGUGCAGCCUCUGCAGGGCGCCCUCAGUGCAGAUGUCUUUGGAGCCCAGCCACGCUCUGCGCGGCACCCAGGCCUGCCGUGGGGAGAGGAACCAGCCGAGUGACCCCGGCGGGCCUCAGCCAUUGGCGAUCUUAAGGGAAGACAAGAACGCCGAGACCAGGGACUGCCCCCAGGCAGAAGGAGCGGCAGCAGGGCCGCCCCGCCGCUCGUCAGGGCCCCGGGUCCGCUUCAGGGGGAGACUGGCCGGGACGGGCGUGGGUGCUGCCCUCUUCUGAUUCGCGACUUGGAUCCACCACAGCUUGGUCUCUGGGCCGCCCAAGCCCCCGUGAGCGCGCGUGUGCCCUUGGCUUCACGCCUCCUCAGUUCUCUGUUCAGGGGGACGCUGCUGUGGGGAAGAGCCUGGCGUCCCCCUUACUUGCUGCAAGAAAUAAACCUUCCUGCGCCUGUGCUUUGGCCUGGUUGUGUUUUUUGGCUUGAUGCCCAUCAAGAGGCGAACCCAGUUUUUCAGGUAACAGCCCCACCUGGGGGGCUGGUGUGGGGCGGGAGCUGGGGCGCCCUGAGGGCGGAGGGCUCCUGGGAGGGUGUCAUCCCCUGGUGCCGCGGUCUGGAAAAGGCCGUCAGUGGGAGGCCCCAGGCCGAGGUGGGCGCCGGUUGUGAAGAAGGUAGGCGUUGGGAGAGGAGGGGACCCCCACGCUCAGUGUCCUUCACCGGCCACCCCUUGGUGAUGCUGGGUGCACCUGUGAGGUGACUGGGGAAGGUGUCGCCCCUCCUGACACCCAGCCAGGUGACUGCACCUCCUUAAGCCACGGCUGCUCUGAGCUGCCCGCACCCGGGAGAGCAGGUAUCUCUGCCCCCGCCCUCAGUGGGUCCCCGCCUACCGGGGGAGGUGGCCUUGUAGAGCUGCCUGUCCCUGCUGGGCCCCAUGUCACCCCCUCCAGUCAUCUGUGGCAGGGCCUCUCCCGCCGAGGGCCGGCCCGGCCAGCUGACUGGGCCCUGCUUCCGCUCAGGGUCAGCAGAGAUGUCUGAGCGGAGGAUUGACUCUGUCUGGAGAGGCAGCGCCCCACCCCCAGAAACCGAGGUGUCCAGGGAAGAUGGGAUGUGAGGGCCUCCAUCCAUGUGGCGGAAUUAACCAGAGCACCCCAGGGUCUUAGGCGCACAGGCGAGUUAUGGGAACCUUCCUCUUCCCCUGGAGGCCCGAGGAAGCUGCCAGAGCUGAUGAUGGGGGCCCUCCCCUCUCUCCUUCCUGGAUGAGGGCCCUCUGGCCACAGAUUCCGGCCUCACCCGGGGUAGGGCAAGAUGCCCAGGGGUCAGCACCCAGAGCUGCUCCCCCAGUGAUGGAUGGGGGCUGGGGUGGAUACCCCAGCUCCUGAGCCCUGGGACGGACACCCCUGAGGAUGCCCGACACUGUGUCCGGUGGCCCCAGUGCCAGCCUGCCCCCAACACACCAUGUGCUGGUCCCCCCCAUGCCCAGCAGGCGCGUCCUGGGGUCACCUCCCCAGUGCUCUGCUCCCAUGGAAAUGAUUGUCAGGGUUGCAGUGGGGGACCCCAGCCUCAGCGGUGAGCUGGGAGACAAGACUGUCUCAGCAUCACACGUCCUGGGGAGUCUCCAGACGGGUCCUCUGGCCGCUCACAGGGUCGGUGCCUUGGUACCAGCUGUGUGACGGUGACAGUAACCACCCUGGACACAUCAGAGGCUCGCAGACGGAGGCUCCGGCACCUCUGGAGGGCUUGUUAACUCACGGGGACCGGAGCCUUGGCCUCGGGUUUCCGCAGCAGGACGACUGGGCUCAGGGUUUGAAUCUCUAAGCCCCAGGACUCCCUGGGGCCACUGCUGCCGGCCCCGGACCACGGGGAGAACCACCAUCCAGACCAGAGAGCAGUGCCCGCGAUGGGCCCCGAGGGGCUGCGGUGAGGGCUGGGGAUGUGCCCCUUCCUGGUUUCCGCAGACAGACAUGGCCCCGGGGUGGGGAGCUCGGUGGCAGGGUGCGUGCUUAGUGUGCGCGAGGUCCUGGUUCAGUUGUGGGUCCAAACCACAGUCCCUCCAUUAAAGGAAGAAAAAGAGCUGGCCCGCAGCCCACGCGCAGAAUUCUCUCGUUGCCGGGACUCCGCUCCUGGUGGUUGGUGCAGGCCUGGCGUGGUGCCAGAUCCCCUGUGUGGUGACACCAUCUGGACUCGUCCUGUCCCGGGCUUCUGAGCUGCUAUUCAAGCAGUGGCCACACGAGUGUGGCCCAGCCUUGGGAAAGAGCCUCUGCACGCACGUCUGGUCCGCGCGGACCGGGCCGCUCCGUCUCACACCGGAGCUCCCGGGCCCAACGCUGCCAAGUCCGAGAGUAUCUCUGUGUCUUGACAGUGGGUGUGCGGAGGGGCUCCUUGGUUUUUCUUUACUGGAGGGAAGUCUUGGGAGCCUUGGGGGAGGCAGGCGCCGUUCACACUCUCCGAGGUGCUGCCUCAAAGUGCUGCGUUGCCAGCGCUUUGAUCGCGUGCUGGGCAUUUUGCUCUUUGGCCCUGGGUGGUUUCACGGGGCGGAUGAAGACUGUGACGUGGGACAAAGUGACAGCGGUGGUGAGUGGGUGGAGGAGCAGCUCAGCACACCGAACCCCGGGGCGGCCCGUUCCAGGCGGCCAGGUGGGGACUGGUCAGGAGGGCUGCGUGGCUCGACGGCCCCUCAGCUCCUCUCCCGAGAGCGGGCCGGCUCAGGCCAGCCUCCUGGAGGGUCGGGGGGUGGCGGCUGGGGAUCUGAGGCACUUGAUGACCGUCUCCCCUACGCCUGGGCAGGUGCCCACCCCUUCAAACCUGGGGUCCGAUAAGCAACGUUUACUGUCUGCCACAGGGUCCCUGAGUCAGCAGUUCAGGUGUGGCACAGCCUGGCUUGUGUUUGCUCCAGGCUGAGGCCUCAGCUGGGAGAUGUGAAGCCUGCAGACUGGAGUCACCUGAAGUCACACAAAGUCACCCACCCACAAGCCCCCAGGCUGCAGGCUCUCAGCAGGGGGCCCCACGGUGCUGCCACAUGGUCUGGGCUUCCUCACAGCCUGGCUGUCCUGGAGUGAGCCUGGGGGUGGGAGAGAGAGGCAGGGCAGGAGGGAAGGAGAGAGAGAUGGAGAGAGAGAAGGGGAGAAACAGAGGUGGGGACAGAGGGAGAAAGCGGGGUGUGAGCACACGGGCUCACCCGCUCGGGGCCAGGCCUGCACUCGGUACUGAAAUCGGUCCUGAAGUCGCAGUGAGAAGCUAAAUCGGCCCAGCCCGCUGCGCGGCCGGGGCCCUGAGGCCCCCGCGGUCUCCGAGGGGCACGUGUCUCCGCAGGGUCUCUGGGAGGCCAGGGGUGUGUGGCCAGGGGGUGGGGUCACUUAAGCGUUCACCCACUGGUUCUCAGCUCCCAGAAGAGCCGUGUCCCUCAGGGUGGGAUCAGGUCGCUCUGCAGCAGGUGUGUGUCUGGAAAAGAAUAGUCAGAGAAUUCUGUUAAGAAUUAUUUUUCAAUCAAUUUUGUAAUGUUAUACAGCUUUCAGAAGAGAAGGCUUGCUGUGGCGUUAAGCCCUACUUCUGUGGAAGGGUCUCACAGUCCGGGAUGCUGUGCUGGUAAGGGGGUGCUUUUCCCUCCCCCGUCACAGCUCCCUGGCCUUCGUGUGCAGAUCAGUGUAUCAGCGAAGCUGCUGCCACAGCUCCAGCCCAGGCCGCCUACAUCACACGGCCACCCAGCAUCAAAUACAACCUGUCUGCGAUCGACUCUCUUGAGAUUUGUUGAGGAAAUUUGGAUUUUUGCAUGUUUCAGAUAUUUUCAGACAUUUUACAGCGAUGGUGAAAUUUCCGUGGCCUCUGGCUCGGGUUUCGAGGCCCCUGGUGGGUGUGCAGUGAUGUCGGGGACCUGCAGGCUUGGCAUUGGGAGCACUGUGGUCAGCUGGGAAGCUGGUUGUGACCACAAACAGUGGAAUGAGGUGGGCUCGGGCGGCCCCUGACUUCUGGAGUCAGCGGCCGUCAGCAAGAGCUGAGGUCUGUGGCGUGGCAGACGCUUUCAGUUUGCCAAGGGUUUCCACCCAAGGUGCAGCGUGUGGGGCGAGCUGACUUCAGGGUCUCCGCCCGGGCCCCACCCUUGGUCUGGCUUCAGCUGACAGCUGGCGGGCGCCUGGCGAGGAGGGGUGUGCGCUGAGGACCAAGCUGGGUGGAGACCCGGAGUGUCAUCACGAGGUAUGGCGCGUGAGCCCAGAGCCAGCGGGGAGAAUGUGAAAGCGGGUGUGAGGCUGAAACAUGAGGGUGACGGCUCGGGGGUCCCGGGUCGGACACAGAAUGAGAACUGCAGCAGGGGACCCGGGGGGGGGGGCUCCUGGGAGGGGGCGUGGCAGCUCGGAAGGUGGACGCUGCGCACCCCGCCCGCCCGCCCGCCCGCUCUGCCCUGUCCCCUGGGCUGCGCCCCUGCCCUCCAUGCUUGGUGCCAGCCACACAGUGGCUCCAGGCCCACGGGCUGCAGGAGCAGAGCCCCCUUCAGUCCUGGGCGCCGACAGCUUGGGAGGGUGGGUGUUCCAGGCACCUCAUCGUCCCUGGUCUGUUCCCUUACACUGUAGGCAUUUCACUCCAUUAAGGGUUCCAUCCAAACCGGCCAAGCAGAAGUCAGCUUUCUGCCAGCACCCUGACCACGGGAGAAGAGCUUUGAAUCCUGCCUCAGGGGAACAGGCUUCCUGGUGAAUUCGUGCGCUGGAGGUGCAGCGUGUCAGCUCGGAGGUGACAGGGCAGAGCAGGCGGGACUCCACAGCGGACCUGUUUCUUUUACUUUAACGUUUGUAUCCAUUGCUUUUGCUACAAGUUAACCACUGAAGAGGUGUUGCCUACAGUGUACAUUACAUACAACCUCCCAGGCCUGAGCGUUGGCCCAAAAUACCUCUGUUUACCUCAGGGAGCACCCUGACCAGGGCCCCUGGUGAGUGGCUGCGGGAAGGAGAACUGACACCUCCCCUCCGAGGCCGGCCGGCACCGUGCAGUGUUCGGCCUCACCCCUCCCCCUCGUAGUAUGAAAGGGGCCUGGAUUCUAACUCAGGCAAGACGGUUCUCUGGGUCACCAGUCCACCAUCUUCUGGCUCUGGGGCUUUCUGAAUAAAGUCCUUGCCCCAGCACCUCGUCUCUUGGUUUACUGGCCUGCCGUGUGCCCAGCAGUGUGGGCUUGGACUCCGUGACAGAAGCAGACACCAGGAUGGGAUCUGAAGCAGGAGAUGUGUUGGGGAGCAUCCUGUCUGUGGAGGAGAAGAGGUUCGGGAGCCUCUGACACCGUGAAAGGAUGGAGGCUGGGGAGGCACCCUGUGGAAUCCUGGCUGGCCCUGGGGAAGCCCUGCAUCGGGGUUCCUGGGGGGGCCCCUCCAGCAGGACGGCAGCUCUGCAGACCCUGCUGUGCUCUGUCAUUGACUGGGAGCCCCUGGGAGAGCGAGGCCUCGGGGGCACUGCCGCAUGGUCCGGAGAUGUGGCGGCUUUGAGGCCCAGCAGCUUCGCCCUGGCGCUCUGCUCAGCACACCUCCAUGGGCACCACGUUUGACGUAUUGGAGGUUGGGGCCCUGGGCAGGUGGGCCCCCAGCUCUCUGCAAGUGAUUCUGAGCUCACCUGAUAUCAGACGUGGGUCGCUGCCCUCCUGGGCCAGCUUCCCCCUCGUGGUCACCACCCACCUUGACCAGGAGCCACCCCCACCGGUGUGAGCAUUGGAAGUGAGCUCUCGGAGGAGAAGCGCUGGAGAAGGACAAGGGACUCCUGAUCCUUCCCGGCAUGUUUUAUGCGGAUCAGAAGCAAGCCUGUGUGGGAGGCCUGGCCUGUGCUGAACGCAGCUUUGGGACGGCAGCCACAGGUGAGCACCUGAGACGCUGCUGGAACACCGACUGCACCGCCCUCCUGCUCGGUUUGCCCGCCAGCGUCCCGGACACUCAGGGUGUCCUGUUCUCUGUGCAAGUUGGCGUCUGCCAGCUCCAUGGGAAGGAGACUCCUGGGGACCCCGGGUGGACAGGGCAACCUCUCCACAGGGAUGUUUCCGCCAAGCAGGCAGGUGGACGCAGUGCAGAGCUCAUGGACGGGGGUGCUGGAGCGCGGGCAGCGGGAACUGUCGGGUGGGGAGCGAACAAGAGAGGCCCAGGGACGCUCUGGGCCCCGAUGCCCCACGGGAUGCGAGGGCCGCGGGCAUUCGGGCUGUGGUGAUGGCACCACGAGGGGCAGGACGGCCACAGGCGGAGGCCCGUGUGCCCUCAGUGCGUCCACGUCCAGGCGGGUCUUCACUGAAGGGAAAGCAGACCAGUGCCCGCGAGGGCUGCUGGAAACCAGUGAGUCAUCUGGCCCAGAACGGCCCCUGCUUGCCGUUUCCUCGGAAAAGCGUGGGCUCUGCCCAGGGCCGGCCUCCCAGUAGCAGUUAGCUCCCCUUCUAGGGAGUCAAGUCGCUUGUGGGCAGUUUGGAGAAUGCUCACCGUGGGGGCCCCACCUUCCUGGCCGAGGUCCUGGAGACCAUCAGACAGUGGAAACCUCAUGGGAAUACGGACACAAGGACGGACACACACACACACACACACACACACGCAGGAGCAGCCCCACAAGGGCGUCGGGGACAGGGACAGGCUGCUGGUGGUGGCUGGGAUGAGGCCGGGAGGCCAGGGGAGGCCAGGGCAGAAGGAGCUUCUCUGCCUCCACGUCAGGCGUCCCUGGGGAGGGUUGGGGGACACCUGGGCACCCUGUCCGGGCUGCACGCCGCUGGGACCCCCAUGUCCCUCCCACCCUCGCUCUCUGGACUUCCGCCAACAACAGCCUCCUACUAGUUUUCUGUUUGUUCCCUGCGAGGCACAGCUAACUCUCUGUGUGGGCUGGGGAGGAGCCCUACGGGAGGAGCGUCCCAGAGACGCACAGCGCGUCCCGACGAGCACCCCCCGCCGUGUGCUCGGUGGGCAGGAGGUCGAGGUGUGUCUCAGAGGCCCAGCUGGCGUGGCGGGCCACGUCCCACUGUCAUCUUAUGUCAGCGCUUGUCCCCUGAGUUGGAAACAGAUGGUUCCUCAGCUAAAUAACCAUCCGCAGCAGCGGUCAGCAAGCGGCACUGUCUCCUGCCAAGGACUGUCUGGACAUGAGUGACCUGUAGGGCCCUCCCUUCCCGCCCGAUGGGCCCCCCGACAGGUGGGGGAGGGAAAGUGGCCUCCUGGUCAGGUCUGUCCCCACCUUCCCCAGGUCCCCACGACGCUCGCUGGGCCCCGGGCGGAGCCCGAGGGGCAGGCCUGAGGGGUCCAGUCUCGGAGGCAGAGGAGCCGCCGGGGGAAGAGCCUCCUGGCGCGGGGCUCCCAGGCCGUCUGGGGCGGGGCCCUGUGGCUGGUCCCCGGGUCUCUGCUGAGAGGGGCCGGGAGAUGCCGCUCGGUGUUUGCCUCCUGCCUGUGGAGCCAAGGAUGUGACCCAAGGGAGUCAUGCUCCCUAGGAGUAAAAACCUGGAUUAAGUCGAAGCCACUCAAUUUCGAAAACCAGAAAUCAGAAGAAGCGAAAGGAUGUCUGUCCAGCCCGUGCUCAGCGUCCAGCCCGCACCAAGCGCCUCGAGUGCCGGUCCCGACUUCGUCGGUUACACAAAGUGCUGAGACACAUGAAACAGAAAGUCGCUGGAGCUAGGAGCGGCGUCCACCCGGGGCCCGCACUUUCUAACAACGAUGGUACACAACUGAGGGAACCACAAGCCGUGAACACAGCCCCCGUGCGGUGCAGAAGGACCCUGCUGUUCAUCCACGCUGUACAUGGUAAUGGGUGUCAAGGCGGCUUCCCUGAACCUCCUCUCCAGCCUCGAGGGGCUUCUCCCCAGAGCUCCCCCUCCAUCCUGCACACGGCCGUCGCUCCCAACCUCUCUGCACUGGAGGAGUUCACGUCUCAAAUACUACGGCAGUUCUGACCAAUUUUACACACAUUUUCUAGAGAUCUCGGUUGACUGGACUGAGUGCCACAGCCUCCCAGAUGACGGACGGAUGAAGUCUCACGACGGUCCCCCUCGUCCUCUGGGUAACGUGAGAGCUGCUUCUGAAGCAUCUGAAGGUCAGUCUGCUCGGCUUCGUGGCCAGACGGUCUCAUCACAACCACCGGCUCUGCUCUCGGGGCUGUGGCCGCAGCCUCGGCGGGCACGGGGCCAGGGCUGUGGUCCCGCGAGAGGCUUCUGGCUCCGGGGAGAAGCUACGGUAGGAGCCUCACAUGGAAUGUUACCUUUUCAGUCGGUGCAUUAAAGCAAAAGGAGGAGAAAGAAAGAGAUGGGGUUGAUCUGAAUGAUACGUUUUACUUAACGCAGCACCUCUCGAGUGUUACCGUUUGAACAGGCAGUCAGUGAGAACGCAAUACCCAGCGUCCUUUGCCCACCUGGUCCUCACAGCCGGGCGUGUGCCGUCCCAGGAGGCACCUCUUGGGUUGGAGUAGCAGCUUCAGGUGGAACAUGUGUCCAGGGAGCCACACGGUCAGCACGGUCCUGGAGUGGACACGUCACAGCCCUGCGAACACGGUUCAUCCCUGCUGGCCGAGUCCCCUGUCAGCUCUCUGUUUCUUUCCUGUUUGGAAACACACUGCUGGGAUCUCCUCCAUGCAGCUGGCAGAGAGGGUGCGGCGUGGAGGGCUUCUGUGUGCGUGUGCACCUGUGUGCGUGUGUGCAUGGGUGUGAGUGUGUUUAGUGCCCCCUCCUCUGCAGGAGGCAGGAUUAUGAGGACACAUCCCUGAGCCCAGGGAAUCACCAGGAGAAAGAACGGGGUGGAAGGAAUGCCCGUAAAAUACAAGCCGGGGCUCAGUGCCUGCGGGGAGAGGGGGCGCGGGUGCGGGACCCACAGAAGUGAGUGAGGACACCUGGACCUGGCAGCAGCCGUGGGCAGAAGCUGGGGCUGGGAGACUGCGUGGGAGGCUCCUGGCAGCCCAGCCUGGGGUC